rnacentral:rRNA from 1 species
GACGAACGCUGGCGGCGUGCUUAACACAUGCAAGUCGAGCGAGGCCCCUCCUUCGGGAGGGUGUCCUAGCGGAGAACGGGUGAGUAACACGUGUGCAACCUGCCCUCAGCUCUGGGAUAACUCCGGGAAACCGGGGCUAAUACCGGAUACGACCUCCACGGGCAUCUGCGGAGGUGGAAAGUUUUUCGGCUGAGGAUGGGCCCGCGGCCUAUCAGCUAGUUGGUGGGGUAGUGGCCAACCAAGGCGACGACGGGUAGCCGGCCUGAGAGGGGGACCGGCCAAACUGGGACGGAGAAACGGCCCGGACUCCUACGGGAGGCAGCGGUGGGGAAAAUUGAGAAAGGGGCGAAAGCCUGACGCAGCGACGCCGCGUGGGGGACGAAGGCCUUCGGUUGUUAAACCCUUUUCAGCAGGGACGAAGCGAAAGUGACGGUACCUGCAGAAGAAGCACCGGCCAACUACGUG